rnacentral:rRNA from 1 species
UAGGGAAUCUUCGGCAAUGGACGAAAGUCUGACCGAGCAACGCCGCGUGAGUGAAGAAGGUUUUCGGAUCGUAAAACUCUGUUGGUAGAGAAGAACGUUGGUGAGAGUGGAAAGCUCAUCAAGUGACGGUAACUACCCAGAAAGGGACGGCUAACUACGUACAG